ensembl:lncRNA
GGAAAAUAUUUGCAGGGCAGGACUAGAAAUGCAGACAUAGAGAACAGAGUUGUGGACACAGUGGGUGAAGCAGAGGGUGGGACGAGUUGAGAGAAUAGUAUUGAAAUAUGUACAUUCAGUUCAGUUCAGUCUCUCAGUCGUGUCCGACUCUUCGCGACCCCAUGAAUCGCAGCACGCCAGGCCUCCCUGUCCAUCACCAACUCCCGGAGUUCACCCAGACUCACGUCCAUCAUUCCAUAUGCAAAACAGACAGGGGGAAGUAGCUGUGUAACACAAGAAGCUCAACCGAGUGCUCUGUGACAACCUAGAGGGGUGGGAUGGGGUGGGGAGUGGAAGACAGGAGACGUAUGUGUAUUUAUGGCUGAUUCACGUUGUUGUGUGGCAGAAACCAACACAACAUUGUAAAGCAAUUAUCCUCCAGUUAAAAAAAAAUGCAUAGAGAAAAAAAUCCAGGUUAUUUCUCCUAUAAUUGUUCAAGCUUGUGUAACAGUUUGGAACAUUAUUAGUAGAUAAUCCCCCUCUCCCUUUCUCUCUCUAGAUGGAAGGAAAGUUUGGUACCAAGUGAUGUUCAAUGCCCCAGCUGGAAACAUUUACCUUGUUUAGAUCCAACUUCAGGAAAGUUUGGGAUGCUGUCUCUGCACGCCGUGUCUUUGAUCUCAGUUCUCAAGUGUGCCCACGGAAGCAGGCCUGAGGGAUGUGACCCCACCACAGAAUACCUGGAGUACGGAAAGAUUCCCAUUUAGAGACAUGCAUCAUUUCUCAUCAUAGAAGCUCAUGAAACCCAUCUUUUGCUGUCUGACAAGGUGCCUAAGCAUUGUUCCUGGGGAGACCAGAAGCAAGACAUGGUCCUUGGCUGUUUAUUUCUACACCUCUCUGUCGCCCUCCCCUGGAUGCACUCUGAGUAUCUUGAGGGCAGAGUGCCUUUCAGAUCAUGUUUUAAAACCUUCCCCGUCUGGCGUUGGGAACGCAGCCGCGGCUUGGUGGUGGAUAGCAAGAGGCAAAGCUGUACUCUCAUUGGAAACAGAAAUUAAGCUUGUCAUUAGAUGCCGGGCCACAGGAGUUGACUGAACAGGGCAGCAGAAGCCAAAAGAGAGGAUCCCAUCUGCUCAAGGCCAAGUGAGCAAAAGGCAGAGUUGAGAUUGGAACUCAAGUUCAUUGUCAAGAUUCUUCUGCUCUGUCAUGCCAUCUCCACCGAACCUGAUGAAGUAAAAGAGAUUCCACUUCAUCUUUUUCCUUUUGUCAGGUCUCAAGUUGGUUUUGUUUGCAAGCCGUCAUUUCUUAUGUGACUCAGAGAUGAGAAGACAUCAAGAAGCUUUUAAGAAGAAUAGUUUGCAAUAUAUAUCUAACUACAAUCCAAGAAAAUCAGUAUUAGACCACUGGAAAAACACCUGGACCCACAAGCCUCCAAUAUACUCAUUAGAAUUAACUUUUUAGUGUGGGAAAACUGACAUGAUUAACUCUGUGCUAAAUGUAAAUCCGAGAACCUGCUAGAUAUCCUGGGACAUAUUUGGAAUUCAUUAUAAACCCCACAAAACUCUAGCCAAUAAUCUAGGCAUUCUGCUCUGAGAUCAAGCACAUGAAAUAGAAAACUUCUGACACUUGGUAGGAUUGUGCAUACAAAAAAUAGGGAAGUAGGGGCUUCCCUGGUGGUCCACUGGUUAAGACCCCGUGCUUCCAAUGCAGAGGGUGUGUGUUUGAUGCCUGGUUUGGGAACUAGAUCCCAUAUGCCAAGCAGCACAGUCAAAAAUAAAUAAAGUCCAGAUUCAAUCAAUUAAAAAAAAAAAAAAGAAAGCAGUGUAGAAAAUAGGGAAGUGUAAAUCCUUGGCAGAGAUGUUAAUGCGGAUAUGACAAUGAAAGGUAUUAAAAGCAAAAGUGGCUUUAAAAGCAACCAGCUAGACAUCAGAUAGAACUGGUUGGGUAUCGCCAUUUGGUAACCACUCUGGAUGUCAUGGUUCUAGCCGUCGAACCAGGGCAUGGCCCAACAUGCUGAAAUGCUGUGGCUGUUCUUUCUACUAACCUACAUGUGUGCACCAAUUGAGUGAGGUUUACAAAUGCAUAAAGCCUUAGAUCUUUAUAAUAGGUUGGCACUGGUUACCCUCAUUUUACAGAUGAGGAAAUUACAUUUCGUUGACCCCUUAGCCUAAGGAAUCCAGUUAAACAAAGCACAGUUGAGUUGGAGACAAAGGGAGAAAAGUUUUUAAGGAAAG